GUCAUUGGACUCGGGGUCACUGUACAGCCCUGGUGGAGAGAGGGUGAAGGCUUCCCUGGGAACAGCCCACUGAGCCCCGGAGGCCAGGGGACCAAAGAGGCGGCCGGGAGGACAACUCGGCCCAAGAGGGGAACAGGGGGGCGAAUCAGGCUCCUUGGUACCCAGGAUGACGUUAGUUUAUUUAAAUAGGAGGCCAUGGCCCGUCCAGGUUUAUUCUCCCUGGCUCUCAAGCAAUGGAAAAACAAUUUGUUUUAUAAUGCUAAUGUAAUACUCAACUCCUCAAAUAAAAGUGCCCUUCAUGAUAAUGGGCCCAGAUAUAAACAGAAGUGGCUGAGAGGGCCCAACCUGCUUCUUCCAGGCAGGCCUGUGACCGGGAGGGGGCUGAGUCCAAACCCAGAGGAGACAGUUUGUUUAAAAUUUCUAUGGAGCUGGACUGUUUUAUAAAGGAAGGGGCUGAGUUAAGGCAUGCUUUGAAAGAAGACAAAUAGACUUUGCAGGAGCUAGACCCUCAAAUGAGUUAUAUUUUAAACAGUUUACUGACUUUAUGAUCUUUAAGCAGGAGCAAAUAAUACAUUCAGGUGCACAGCCGAUGCACCCCAACUUUCCAGUGCAAACAAGGCCGGGAGGAGUGGGAGGAGGCCUGGCAGCAGGCAGGACAGGUGGGCUGUGGGCUGCAGGGGGUGGGCAGGGGGACACCCCCAGGCCAGGGGUUCCCUUAACCUGGCUGUUACUCUGAGGUCAGGAAAAGCCCCUGGUGAAAAACUUCUCUGGUGGGUGAAGAUCAGUGAUGGCCCGAAAUCAUCUCGGUGUUCUGAAGCCUAGGAAAGCUGUUGGCCUGGCACCGGGGCCACUUCCUACAAGAAGAACUGGCAGCCUCAGGCGGAAUGUUUGGGGGCAGCUGACCUGAACAGACUGAUCCGUCUGCCUGGAAGAUUCUUCUAACUCAGCUGGAGAAUGGCUGCUCAAUAAUGCAGGUUUUGGGGUUCCACAGGCAUGAGCAGGCCAUGGGUCAGGCUGGUUCCGGCAUGGCUGUGGUCGGCCCACUUCCACAGACCACCACCGCAUGCUGUCCAUCUAUCCACCAGAGAUGGCCGCAGUGAGGACCAAGACAAGAGGACAAAUGAGGCCCUGUGUGUCUGAACACUGACCACUUGUAAAUCAGCUGCUAGAUACAAUGUGCUUAUACACAAUAUGCUUAUCCUCCUGCCUUGGAAAAUAUGUUUUCAAAUGAGAGAAAUCACAAAAUACGUGCAAAGCAUGAUUUGCAUGGAAGUCAUCAACAUUUCAAAAGAGGACCAGAUGUAAUGAUUCUUAUGUACGUCUGGCAUUCUAUUCUGAGGGGGUAGCAAUGUUAGGAUUUGCAAAAAAAUAAAGACAGAAUAAUUCAUAAAGUACAUAUUUAUCCUAUGAAAUAUUUUGCCUUUAAAAAAAUAGAAUCACUCCAUAUCCUGUAGCAAUCAAGAUUUUCACAUAAUUUGUGUUUUGACAAUAGUGGUUCAAAAAUUAAAAAGUGAUCCUUCUCAAAGCAUACAUUUAAAUAUAUCUUCAUCAAAAAUUGAUAGCAAAUCAAAUGUAAGAAAUAAAAAUAACUAAAUUAUUUGUGAUUUUCCAAAAAAAUUUUUCUUGUAGCAUACUCAAAGCUUUCUAUUAAAAUUUAAAGACACAAUGCACACUAUAACUUAUCCAUAAAAAGUUUUCAAUAAAAAGUUUC